UAGGAAUCUGCCCGGUAGUGGGGGAUAACCUGGGGAAACUCAGGCUAAUACCGCAUACGUCCUACGGGAGAAAGCAGGGGAUCUUCGGACCUUGCGCUAUCGGAUGAGCCUAUGCCGGAUUAGCUAGUUGGUGAGGUAAUGGCCCACCAAGGCGACGAUCCGUAGCUGGUCUGAGAGGAUGAUCAGCCACAUCGGGACUGAGACACGGCCCGAACUCCUACGGGAGGCAGCAGUGGGGAAUAUUGGACAAUGGGCGCAAGCCUGAUCCAGCCAUGCCGCGUGUGUGAAGAAGGCUUUCGGGUUGUAAAGCACUUUCAGUGGGGAAGAAUGCCUUGGGCCUAAUACGCCCGAGGAAAGACAUCACCCACAGAAGAAGCACCGGCUAACUCCGUGCCAGCAGCCGCGGUAAUACGGAGGGUGCGAGCGUUAAUCGGAAUUACUGGGCGUAAAGCGCGCGUAGGUGGCUUGAUAAGCCGGUUGUGAAAGCCCCGGGCUCAACCUGGGAACGGCAUCCGGAACUGUCAGGCUAGAGUGCAGGAGAGGAAGGUAGAAUUCCCGGUGUAGCGGUGAAAUGCGUAGAGAUCGGGAGGAAUACCAGUGGCGAAGGCGGCCUUCUGGACUGACACUGACACUGAGGUGCGAAAGCGUGGGUAGCAAACAGGAUUAGAUACCCUGGUAGUCACGCCGUAAACGAUGUCGACUAGCCGUUGGGUCCCUCGCGGACUUUGUGGCGCAGUUAACGCGAUAAGUCGACCGCCUGGGGAGUACGGCCGCAAGGUUAAAACUCAAAUGAAUUGACGGGGGCCCGCACAAGCGGUGGAGCAUGUGGUUUAAUUCGAUGCAACGCGAAGAACCUUACCUACCCUUGACAUCGUGCGAACUUGGUAGAGAUACCUUGGUGCCUUCGGGAGCGCACAGACAGGUGCUGCAUGGCUGUCGUCAGCUCGUGUUGUGAAAUGUUGGGUUAAGUCCCGUAACGAGCGCAACCCUUGUCCUUAUUUGCCAGCGGGUCAUGCCGGGAACUCUAAGGAGACUGCCGGUGACAAACCGGAGGAAGGUGGGGACGACGUCAAGUCAUCAUGGCCCUUACGGGUAGGGCUACACACGUGCUACAAUGGCCGGUACAAAGGGUUGCGAAGCCGCGAGGUGGAGCUAAUCCCGAAAAGCCGGUCUCAGUCCGGAUCGGAGUCUGCAACUCGACUCCGUGAAGUCGGAAUCGCUAGUAAUCGUGAAUCAGAAUGUCACGGUGAAUACGUUCCCGGGCCUUGUACACACCGCCCGUCACACCA
rnacentral:rRNA from 1 species